rnacentral:rRNA from 1 species
CCUACGGGUGGCAGCAGUGAGGAAUAUUGGUCAAUGGCCGGAAGGCUGAACCAGCCAUGCCGCGUGAAGGUCAGUGCCCUAUGGGCGUUAAACUUCUUUUGUGCGGGAGCAAUAAUGGUCACGUGUGGCCAGACGAGAGUACCGUACGAAUAAGCAUCGGCUAACUCCGUGCCAGCAGCCGCGGUAAUACGGGGGAUCCGAGCGUUAUCCGGAUUCAUUGGGUUUAAAGGGUGCGUAGGUUGUUUUAUAAGUUAGCGGUGAAAUACCGAUGCUCAACAUCGGGGCUGCCGCUAAUACUGUAGGACUAGAGAUCGGAUGCAGCAGGCGGAAUGUGUAGUGUAGCGGUGAAAUGCAUAGAUAUUACACAGAACACCGAUUGCGAAGGCAGCUUGCUAGGCCGGAUCUGACACUGAUGCACGAAAGCGUGGGGAUCGAACAGGAUUAGAUACCCGAGUAGUC